UACGGAGGGUGCAAGCGUUGUUCGGAAUUAUUGGGCGUAAAGCGCGCGCAGGCGGCUGGAUAAGUCCAGGGGUGAAAUGCCGGAGCUCAACUCCGUGCGUGCCCCGGAUACUGUCCGGCUGGAGACACGUAGAGGCAAGCGGAAUUUCGGGUGUAGCGGUGGAAUGCGUAGAGAUCCGAAAGAACACCGGAGGCGAAGGCGGCUUGCUGGGCGUGAUCUGACGCUGAGGCGCGAAAGCGUGGGGAGCGAACAGG
rnacentral:rRNA from 1 species